UCUGUGGCACACAUUAGUGUCAAAUACUUGCUAGAGAACAAACUUCACUUCAGGAUAGGCAACCGAAAUUAAUAAUGAAUGUAUGUGUGUUAUAUUAAACAUAGAGGAGGGAUUGACAGCUUCUUUGAAGGACACAAAUAAAAAAUGCAUUCUGCUACUAAGAUCAGUGAAAACUGACAACGGAGUGAAAAGCAGAAAUCUCAACUACCAAGCAAGUCGCAGCAAUGAAGAAUUGAGUGUGUGCGCGCGCGCGUCCACCCAAAGGGAGGGAGAAUUCUGUCGGGGGAGAUUUUCGGUACAACACCUGUUACCUUCAGACAAAUUCCCUGGGUCGAUGAGUAAAACGGAGAACACCAUCGUGUUCGUGAUCCAUGGUUGUUGGUUAUUUACCAGGAGGGCCUGGCUGACAUGAAAAAUGCAUUAAAGGGAAAGGAUCCACAGACACACAGGCUGAUUAUCUUCCUGCGCAUCUCUUUAUUUACCAUGCUGGCUGCCAUGGUUAACACAAACACAGGACAUUGAAUGCUACCUGAAUUGACUCAGAAAAGUAACAUAAGUAGGCCUACAGUAUCACAGCGAGGACGAACAGGUGUGUGCUAGUUAGAUUAUCCAGGUUCCACAGCAACACUAUUGACUAUUCUCUACCUCCAGUGCAUGCUCUCACUAACACUCAUAUUUUCUCUGUCUCCCCUUCCGGAGGGCCUGAGGCACUGGGACCUGAGGCACUGGGACUGAGGAUACCCUGGCCUGAUACCUCGACAUGCCUGGCCCAAUCCAAGCUGUCCACACUCUACCUCCUACCUGCCUGUUACCAUGACGACUUUGUGAAAAGCGAUCUGACCUCUGUCUUGAAUGUAUGCUUUUAUACGGCCUAUAUCUUUGUAUUACAGCAGUCAAAUAGAAAACUGGAAGUGUGACUUCUUUCCCUAAUGAUUUCCUAUGGCUGAGGUAUUUUGUUAGUUAUCAGGUAUUCCAUACCAAGGCUAGAUGAGCCUGAAUGGCAACAACACCAGACACAAAUGCAAUGCAACUAAUUCAUCUCAUUGUUAAAUGACUGUUCAGUCUGUUGAAUAUUCCAUUAAUGAAAAUAUGGAUUUUUUGGCUGAAUUAAGGUUUUAUUAAAACUUCAAAAAGGUCACACACACAAUAGGGUACAUUUAUAAAAUAAAUUGACAAGAAAAGUAAUUUACAACAUCAAUUAUUGUCACCGCCUCUCCCUUUAUUUUGCUUAACUGGGGGAAUGGGAGAAAUGGUUUACAGUAGGCAGGGUAGUGCUCAACAAGCAGAAUGCAUCCCCAAUGACACCCUGUUACUUUUGACUGUAUAAUGCAUUAUACAGGCAAAGAGCCCUAUGAACCCAGGUCAAAAUUAAUGCACUGU